UACGUAGGGGGCAAGCGUUGUCCGGAAUCAUUGGGCGUAAAGCGCGCGUAGGCGGCCCGAUAAGUCUGCUGUGAAAGUCCAGGGCUCAACCCUGGAAUGCCGGUGGAUACUGUCGGGCUAGAGUUCGGAAGAGGCAAGUGGAAUUCCUGGUGUAGCGGUGGAAUGCGCAGAUAUCAGGAGGAACACCGGUGGCGAAGGCGGCCCUCUGGACGGAUACUGACGCUGAGGCGCGAAAGCGUGGGGAUCAAACAGG
rnacentral:rRNA from 1 species